CCUACGGGAGGCUGCAGUGAGGAAUAUUGGUCAAUGGACGAGAGUCUGAACCAGCCAAGUAGCGUGAAGGAUGACUGCCCUAUGGAUUGUAAACUUCUUUUAUAAAGGAAUAAAACGAGGCACGUGUGCCUUUUUGCAUGUACUUUAUGAAUGAGGAUCGGCUAACUCCGUGCCAGCAGCCGCGGUAAUACGGAGGAUCCGAGCGUUAUCCGGAUUUAUUGGGUUUAAAGGGAGCGUAGAUGGGUUGUUAAGUCAGUUGUGAAAGGUUGCGGCUCAACCGUAAAAUUGCAAUGGAUACUGGAAGUCUUGAGUACAGUUGAGGUAGGCGGAAUUCGUGGUGUAGCGGUGAAAUGCUUAGAUAUCACGAAGAACCCCGAUUGCGAAGGCAGCUUACUAAACUGUGACUGACAUUGAUGCUCGAAAGUGUGGGUAUCAAACAGGAUUAGAUACCCUGGUAGUC
rnacentral:rRNA from 1 species